rnacentral:rRNA from 1 species
GACGAACGCUGGCGGCGUGCUUAACACAUGCAAGUCGAACGGAAAGGCCCUGCUUGCAGGGUACUCGAGUGGCGAACGGGUGAGUAACACGUGGGUGAUCUGCCCUGCACUUCGGGAUAAGCCUGGGAAACUGGGUCUAAUACCGGAUAGGAGCCAUUUUUAGUGUGAUGGUUGGAAAGUUUUUUCGGUGUAGGAUGAGCUCGCGGCCUAUCAGCUUGUUGGUGGGGUAAUGGCCUACCAAGGCGGCGACGGGUAGCCGGCCUGAGAGGGUGGACGGGCACAAUUGGGCUGGAGAUACGGCCCGAACCCCUAGGGGGGGAGGAGGGGGGGAUAAUUGACCAAGGGCGCAAGCCUGAUGCAGCGACGCCGCGUGGGGGAUGACGGCCUUCGGGUUGUAAACUCCUUUCGCUAGGGACGAAGCUUUUUGUGACGGUACCUAGAUAAGAAGCACCGGCUAACUACGUG